GUACAGUGGAUAGGAAUCCGGCUGCCAACGCAGGGAACGUGGGCUCAAUCUCUGGUCUGGGAAGAUCCCACAUACCUCGGAGCAAUGAAGCCCAUGUACCACAACUGCCGAGCCCACAUGCCCCCAAGCCUGUGCUCCGCAGGAAGAGAAGCCACUGCAGUGAGAAGCCCACACACUCAACGAAGAGAACCCGCUCACCGCAACUAGAGAAAGCCCUCGAGUGUCAAUGAAGACCCCAUGUAGCCAAUAAUGGUGGAGUAGCAGUUCUGUGGAUGAGAAUAUCAAGCAGGCAUUUUGAUGAUGCAGGUAAUGAAGCUGGUUGGAGAAAAUGGGAACUGCAUUGGAAAAUACCAAAUGAAUUCUUUUGUGUUCUCCUGUUCUAAUGCCUGGGUCAAAGCAACCCAAACCAACCGCAGUUCUGCAACACCAGGCUUCCCUGUGGUACAGUGGUAAAGAAUCUGCCUGCCAAUGCAGGAGACGCAGGAGAUUUGGAUUCAAUCCCUGGGUUGUGAAUAUCCUCUGGAGUAGGAAAUGGCAACCCCUUCCAGUAUUCUUGCCUGGAAAAUUCCAUGGACAGAGGAGUCUGGUGAGCUACAGUCCAUGGGGUUGCAUAGAGUUGGACAAAAAACUCAGCAUGCAUGCAUAUACUUGUUUGACUGCCACACCCUAUC
ensembl:lncRNA